rnacentral:rRNA from 1 species
UACGUAGGGUGCGAGCGUUAAUCGGAAUUACUGGGCGUAAAGCGUGCGCAGGCGGUUCGUUGUGUCCGGCGUGAAAGCCCCGGGCUUAACCUGGGAACUGCGAUGGAAACUAGCGAGCUGGAGUGUGGCAGAGGGGGGUGGAAUUCCGCGUGUAGCAGUGAAAUGCGUAGAGAUGCGGAGGAACACCGAUGGCGAAGGCAGCCCCCUGGGCUAACACUGACGCUCAGGCACGAAAGCGUGGGGAGCAAACAGG